CCUACGGGUGGCAGCAGUCGAGAAUCAUUCACAAUGGGGGAAACCCUGAUGGUGCGACGCCGCGUGGGGGAAUGAAGGUCUUCGGAUUGUAAACCCCUGUCAUGUGGGAGCAAAUUAAAAAGAUAGUACCACAAGAGGAAGAGACGGCUAACUCUGUGCCAGCAGCCGCGGUAAUACAGAGGUCUCAAGCGUUGUUCGGAAUCACUGGGCGUAAGGCGUGCGUAGGCUGUUUCGUAAGUCGUGUGUGAAAGGCGCGGGCUCAACCCGCGGACGGCACAUGAUACUGCGAGACUAGAGUAAUGGAGGGGGAACCGGAAUUCUCGGUGUAGCAGGGAAAUGCGUAGAUAUCGAGAGGAACACUCGUGGCGAAGGCGGGUUCCUGGACAUUAACUGACGCUGAGGCACGAAGGCCAGGGGAGCGAAAGGGAUUAGAUACCCCAGUAGUC
rnacentral:rRNA from 1 species